GCCGGGAUGGUGGAAUUGGCAGACACGCAAGCUUGAGGGGCUUGUAGCGGAGACGCUGUAGGGGUUCAAAUCCCCUUCCCGGCACCA
rnacentral:tRNA from 1 species